rnacentral:tRNA from 1 species
GUUUUAAUAAUUUAAAAAAAAUACUGGUCUUGUAAACCAACUUUAAGUUUAUCUUUUAAAACA